CGGUGUUUAACUGGCGUGAUGUGGGACGUCCUACCGGUGGGCUUAGCCUCGCGAGGGGCGGCCCAACUAAUAUCCCGUCGCGGUGCUCUUUACUGAGUGUCGAGUCGGGCCGGUACGUUUACUUUGAACAAAUUAGAGUGCUUAAAGCAGGCUAUCCUCGCCUGAAUACUGCGUGCAUGGAAUAAUGGAAUAGGACCUCGGUUCUAUUUUGUUGGUUUUCGGAACCCCGAGGUAAUGAUUAAUAGGGACAGAUGGGGGCAUUCGUAUUGCGACGUUAGAGGUGAAAUUCUUAGAUCGUCGCAAGACGGACAGAAGCGAAAGCAUUUGCCAAAAAUGUUUUCAUUAAUCAAGAACGAAAGUUAGAGGUUCGAAGGCGAUCAGAUACCGCCCUAGUUCUAACCAUAAACGAUGCCAGCUAGCGAUCCGCCGAAGUUCCUCCGAUGACUCGGCGGGCAGCUUCCGGGAAACCAAAGCUUUUGGGUUCCGGGGGAAGUAUGGUUGCAAAGCUGAAACUUAAAGGGAAUUGACGGAAGGGCACCACCAGGAGUGGAGCCUGCGGCUUAAUUUUGACUCACACGGGAAACCUCACCAGGCCCAGACACCGGAAGGAUUGACAGAUUGAUAGCUCUUUCUUGAUUCGGUGGGUGGUGGUGCAUGGCCGUUUUUAGUUGGUGGAGCGAUUUGUCUGGUUAAUUCCGAUAACGAACGAGACUCUAGCCUGCUAAAUAGGCGUACCUUAUGGUAUCGCGAAGGCCCCCGGCUUCGGCCGGUGGGUUUUUACUACCAACGUACAAACAAAUCUUUUUAGAGGGACAGGCGG
rnacentral:rRNA from 1 species